AACGAACGCUGGCGGCAUGCCUAACACAUGCAAGUCGAACGAGACCUUCGGGUCUAGUGGCGCACGGGUGCGUAACGCGUGGGAACCUGCCCUUAGGUUCGGAAUAACUCCCCGAAAGGGGUGCUAAUACCGGAUAAUGUCUUCGGACCAAAGAUUUAUCGCCUUUGGAUGGGCCCGCGUUGGAUUAGCUAGUUGGUAGGGUAAAAGCCUACCAAGGCGACGAUCCGUAGCUGGUCUGAGAGGAUGAUCAGCCACACUGGGACUGAGACACGGCCCAGACUCCUACGGGAGGCAGCAGUGGGGAAUAUUGGACAAUGGGCGAAGCCUGAUCCAGCAAUGCCGCGUGAGUGAUGAAGGCCUUAGGGUUGUAAAGCUCUUUUACCCGGGAUGAUAAUGACAGUACCGGGAGAAUAAGCUCCGGCUAACUCCGUG
rnacentral:rRNA from 1 species